GGACUUCGCAUGGCGCGUAUCCCAUGAACUCCCCCAGGGCAGGAAUGCAGCAAGGGUCAGUGGGCUCUAGCGGGUGUGCGGAGUCCCCUUU
rnacentral:SRP_RNA from 17 species